GACGAACGCUGGCGGCGUGCCUAACACAUGCAAGUCGAGCGAUGAAGCACCUUCGGGUGUGAAUUAGCGGCGAACGGGUGAGGAACACGUGAGAAAUCUGCCUUCAGCACUGGGAUAACUCCGGGAAACCGGGGCUAAUACCGGAUAUGCUUUCGAGUGAAAUGGAUUUUAUCCGCCUAGAGAGAAGCUCGCGGCUGAUUAGCUUGUUGGUAAGGUAAGAGCUUACCAAGGCGACGAUCAGUAUCUGGUUUGAGAGGACGAUCAGACACACUGGAACUGAGACACGGUCCAGACUCGUGAUGCU
rnacentral:rRNA from 1 species